rnacentral:rRNA from 1 species
AAUUACAGGUUAUAAAUACUGUAACGGCACCUGAUUCCAUCUGUUCUUGGAAACUAAGCAGAAUCAGCCCUGAUUAGCACGUAAAUGGGAGACCACCAAUGAAUACAGGGUGCUGUAGGAU